ensembl:snRNA U6 U6 spliceosomal RNA
UUGCUUCAGCAGCACAUAUACUGAAAUUGGAAUGAUACAGAGAAGAUUAGCAUGGCCCCGUGCAAGGAUGGCAUGUGAAUUCAUGAAGUGUUCCAUAUUUUU